rnacentral:rRNA from 1 species
CCCUUAGAUGUUCUGGGCCGCACGCGCGCUACACUGAUGCAUUCAACGAGUGUACCUUGGCCGAGAGGCCUGGGCAAUCUUUUGAACGUGCAUCGUGAUAGGGAUAGAUUAUUGCAAUUAUUAAUCUUGAACGAGGAAUUCCUAGUAAACGCAGAUCAUCAAUCUGCAUUGAUUACGUCCCUGCCCUUUGUACACACCGCCCGCCGCACCUACCGAUUGGAUGGUCCGGUGAAGCCUCGGGAUUGUGGCGGUUGCCUUUAUUGGUGGCCGCCGCGAGAACUUGUCUAAACCUUAUCAUCUAGAGGAAGGUGAAGUCGUAACA